rnacentral:rRNA from 1 species
GUCGACGAGCCCUUCGGGGUUAGUGGCGCACGGGUGCGUAACGCGUGGGAAUCUGCCCUUUGCUUCGGAAUAACUUCGGGAAACUGAAGCUAAUACCGGAUGAUGUCCUCAUUAGAGAUAUUGGGGACCAAAGAUUUAUCGGCAAAGGAUGAGCCCGCGUAGGAUUAGGUAGUUGGUGGGGUAAAGGCCUACCAAGCCGACGAUCCUUAGCUGGUCUGAGAGGAUGAUCAGCCACACUGGGACUGAGACACGGCCCAGACUCCUACGGGAGGCAGCAGUGGGGAAUAUUGGACAAUGGGCGCAAGCCUGAUCCAGCAAUGCCGCGUGAGUGAUGAAGGCCUUCGGGUCGUAAAGCUCUUUUACCAGGGAUGAUAAUGACAGUACCUGGAGAAUAAGCUCCGGCUAACUCCGUGCCAGCAGCCGCGGUAAUACGGAGGGAGCUAGCGUUGUUCGGAAUUACUGGGCGUAAAGCGCGCGUAGGCGGCUACUCAAGUCAGAGGUGAAAGCCCGGGGCUCAACCCCGGAACUGCCUUUGAAACUAGGUGGCUAGAAUCUUGGAGAGGUCAGUGGAAUUCC